CAGAUUUGGAAAUUUCACAUGUGGGGAAGGCAAGGUGUGAAGCCGCACAUAUGUUAGCGAGACAUGCCUGCUACAUUAGGGACACUCUUCAAUGGUGGAAUAGUUGUCUAGGAAUUAAGCUUUAACCAUAGGAGCCUGAUGACAUGUGCAGUGACGUAAGAUUGAAUAAAAAUAUUACCACUUCAAUCUCCUUGACCCGAAAGUCUUUUCCGGAACAGUAUUAUACAGCGUAGCAGUAGUUUCCGAAAUGGACCGUCUAUCAUUGGGUGAAAAUAUUUCCGAACAGUAGAAUACAGCUAUUUCCGAGAAGGGCCAAUAUGACAAAUGCAAAUUAUAAAUGGACCAAUAUCUCCAGCUGAUCUCGGGGACUUGGAUUUGGAGCAAAAGAUGGUUCCCAGGGCAUCUCUCACCAUCCUCUUCAUUGCGCUCCUAAUUUCGGCUGAAUUAAUGGCUCCAUCGGAAACCAGAUCAACAAACAUGCCGACCGGAGUACUACCAAAGACGAGAUACCAUGGCGAGUACCUUGGCACCAGUAAAAUUGAGGGUCCUGGUCAUGGUUCACCACGGGGCCCAAGUUGUGUAAUAUCACCAUGCCACUGCCCCCAGCCACCAUGCUAGCAGUUGGUCUUGGCAGAAGGUGGACCUGUAUCCUCGAGUCCGUGACCGAUCGUUGUUCAAAUAUCAAUCACUUUUAUAAUUAUCUAAAUCUUUGAUCUUAUGUGACAGCAGGAUAAGAAUGAGAUAUUAUGUAUAAUGGUCCUGGUGAUCAAAAACCUAAAAGCCUUCGUAAAAAAGUGCCUAUGUUUCCAUCAAGCUGUAUAAGCCUUCGUGUUAUAUUAUGCUUUCUUAAACGAGAGUUGUGACUUCUGUUCUUCCCUCAAACAACCACUACACCUUUAUUCUCUAUGUGGAAUGUAUGCUUUCUAUUUUUCUA